rnacentral:rRNA from 1 species
GGAGUUAGCCGGUGCUUCUUCUGUGAGUGAUGUCCUUCCUGCCGGCUAUUAACCCGCAGGCCUUCUUCCUCACUGAAAGUGCUUUACAACCCGAAGGCCUUCUUCACACACGCGGCAUGGCUGGAUCAGGGUUGCCCCCCAUUGUCCAAUAUUCCCCACUGCUGCCUCCCGUAGGAGUCUGGGCCGUGUCUCAGUCCCAGUGUGGCUGAUCAUCCUCUCAGACCAGCUACGGAUCGUCGCCUUGGUGAGCCGUUACCUCACCAACCAGCUAAUCCGACAUAGGAUCAUCCGAUAGCGCGAGGCCCGAAGGUCCCCCGCUUUCCCCCGUAGGGCGUAUGCGGUAUUAGCCUGGGUUUCCCCAGGUUAUCCCCCACUACCGGGCAGAUUCCUAUGCAUUACUCACCCGUCCGCCGCUCGCCACCAGGGAGCAAGCUCCCCGUGCUGCCGCUCGACUUGCAUGUGUUAGGCCUGCCGCCAGCGUUCAAUCUGAACCAAGAUCAAAUUCUGA